GACGAACGCUGGCGGCGUGCUUAACACAUGCAAGUCGAACGAGACGAUUGAAAGCUUGCUUUUGAGAGUCGAGUGGCAAACGGGUGAGUAACGCGUAGACAACCUGCCGUAAAGAUGGGGACAACAGUUCGAAAGGACUGCUAAUACCGAAUGUUGUAGAGUUUCCGCAUGGGAAUCCUACUAAAGGUGGCCUCUACUUGUAAGCUAUCGCUUUACGAUGGGUCUGCGUCUGAUUAGCUAGUUGGUGGGGUAACGGCCUACCAAGGCGACGAUCAGUAGCCGGUCUGAGAGGAUGAACGGCCACAUUGGAACUGAGACACGGUCCAG
rnacentral:rRNA from 1 species